rnacentral:piRNA from 1 species
UAUACGGAGGUAAAUGUGUCCUU